AUUGAACGCUGGCGGCAUGCUUUACACAUGCAAGUCGAACGGCAGCGCGGGCUUCGGCCUGGCGGCGAGUGGCGAACGGGUGAGUAAUACAUCGGAACGUGCCCAGUAGUGGGGGAUAGCUCGGCGAAAGCCGGAUUAAUACCGCAUACGACCUGAGGGUGAAAGCGGGGGAUCUUCGGACCUCGCGCUAUUGGAGCGGCCGAUGGCAGAUUAGCUAGUUGGUGGGGUAAAGGCCUACCAAGGCGACGAUCUGUAGCUGGUCUGAGAGGACGACCAGCCACACUGGGACUGAGACACGGCCCAGACUCCUACGGGAGGCAGCAGUGGGGAAUUUUGGACAAUGGGCGAAAGCCUGAUCCAGCAAUGCCACGUGUGUGAUGAAGGUCUUCGGGUUGUAAAGCACUUUUGGCGGGAACGAAAAGGACUGUGCCAAUACCACGGUUCGAUGACGGUACCCGCAGAAUAAGCACCGGCUAACUACGUG
rnacentral:rRNA from 1 species